UACGAAGGGGGGCUAGCGUUGCUCGGAAUCACUGGGCGUAAAGGGUGCGUAGGCGGGUCUUUAAGUCAGAGGUGAAAGCCUGGAGCUCAACUCCAGAACUGCCUUUGAUACUGAGGAUCUCGAGUUCGGGAGAGGUGAGUGGAACUGCGAGUGUAGAGGUGAAAUUCGUAGAUAUUCGCAAGAACACCAGUGGCGAAGGCGGCUCACUGGCCCGAUACUGACGCUGAGGCACGAAAGCGUGGGGAGCAAACAGGG
rnacentral:rRNA from 1 species